GGUCAGCUGUGUGUGUGGGGGAGAGGGUCGCACCAGCCCUGCCAGACACCCAGCCGCGCUCCAGGUUCAGACCCGCCCCGGGCCGUGGCUGUGGGCGUGACUGUGGGCGUGGCCGGGGAUGGGCCCUCAGGAAACGCCCACUGCGCGGGGCCUGGGGAGCCCGGAAGCCCGGAGAGGGCCAUGGCCCAGCCCAAGGUCACACAACCGCGUGGGACCCGCUGGCCCGAGCGCCAGCGUCUCAGCUCACAAGGAAGGGAGCAGAGUGUUACCUCUGAAUCUGCUACAGGGCCUUUUCCUGGAAGGCCUGGGCCUGGAGACAAAGUAGGCUUUGAUUCUUUUCCUCGGAGGUGGCCCCAGUGGUGGUGGGUGCAACUGGGCCUCCGCAAAGGGCCACUGGAUGUGGGCAGCUACCCUGGGGGGAGUGCAGAGGCUGGGGAGAGGGGAAGAUCAUUUUUACCUCCCUCAGUUGCCCUUUUGGCCAAAUGCAGCUGUCCCAUUGGGCACCUGCAGGCUCAUGGGGGUAGAGAAAUUGGGUGCCCGUAAGUGCCCUUAGGUCCACCAGGAAGUCAGGGGUUGGACCCCUGGUGAAUUCUUAGCUAACUUGGGUCACUGGGAACAGCUGUCCACAAAAACAGGUAUGAAAGAGGCCGCUGGGUUUCUAUCCUAAUGCCCCCAACGCCUGUUUCUCCCAGCCUGCUAACAUCACACAGGCUGGGCCCCUCCCCCCGGGGUCUCCCAGGACUGAGUGGGGCAGGGACAGAAGAGUAAAGUCAUGGAGUCAAGUUGGGCCUAAGGGAUUGGAACUCACAUGUCUUCAGGGGCCAGGCAGGUAAGUGAGGGGAGGGCGACAGAGGGCAGUGGGGACUGCAGUGCUCCAAAGCUCGUGUCCCGUCAGAGGGUGUGGCAGCCACUCGGCCCCAGCCUAUGCUGCCGUGUGGGAAGAUAGGCGCGGUGGGACCAGAGCUCCUCAUUUUUCAAGAGACGUUGGAAAUCUGGCUUUUAAUGUGAAACUUCACAAUUUAAAACAUUUGGGUUAGGCUUUUUCUUUUAAGCUCUGUGUCAGUCAAACUGAAUACAUGUUUGAUUUUCGUGUCUGAUCUGGCCCACGGGACACUGUCUCCUCUGGCAUACGCUAGGCGCUGGAAGUGGAGUCUGUCAGGCCCAGAAGGGCCUCGGUGGCUGGCUGAUUGCUCCCCGCCCCGGCCCUUCCUACCUUGGGCCCUUCAGGCCCCUUCCCUCACUCAGGGGCUCUUUCCCAGCAGCCUGGCUGCCAGAGGUGCUCUUGGGCCUCUCUCCAGGGCUCGCCUUCCUUAGCCCUCCUCUCCACAGAGAAACUUACAGCCUGGAGUCUGACCGCAUCUGGGUGGGCCCUGCUGAGCUGGGGGCCCACAGCCUGGCCCUGCCUCCUCUGUGCUGAGAUGCUGCGGAGCUGGCACUGACAAUGCCCCAGCCUCUAGUGCCUCAGUUUCCUCAUCUGGACAGGCCAAAUGGGAAGUGACAGCAUGGGCUCUGGAGUCAGAUGGACUUGGGUUCAAACACUGGUCCUACCACUCCCUCUGUGGCUGUGAGCUCCGAGUGUCUUGACUAGACGGUGGGGACAAUGCCUCUGUCUUCGUGUUCCACUGCCAUGUGAUACACUACCACGCCCUGAGUGGCUUCAGACAGACCCCAUGUAUUGGCUCACGGUGCUGUCGGUCAGAAGUCUGGAAGUCACGGGGGGACUCUCUGCUCAGGGCCUCGCCAGGCUAAAGUCAAAGUGGCAUAUGGGGCCGCAGUUCUGUGCUGGGGCCCCAGGCCCUCUUCCAGCCUCUCUAGUUGUGGGCAGAAUUCGGUUCCUUCUCAUGAAGCCCCUCCAUUUUCACGGCUAGCGAAGGCACCUUGACUCUUUCUGGGGGUUCAAAUCACUCUGCCUUCCUCUUCUGUUUUUAAGGGCUCAUGUGAUUAUGUGGGGCCCACCCAGAUAAUCUCCUUAUUUUAAGGUGAGCAGCUUAGUCUCCCUAGUUGCAGCUGCAGGGUUCCCCUUGCCAUGUAAGAUAACCACCAUGGGAGUGGGAGUGUUGGUGGUGAUCAUGAGAGGGCGGCAAAACCCUGCUGGGCACAACCUCUGACCUCUCUGAGUGGCUGUAAGGCUGAAUAUACGCCUGCUGGUUCCCUGAGAACCACAGUGUUGGGUAUUUAAACGCACAGGAUCCCCUGCUACCGCGCAAAUAGAACAGGCAGUGGGAAUGUGCCUCACAGCAGCCCUCUCAAGUAGCCAGCAUUGACUCCACUUUCCAGAUGUCAGGUGAUAUAUAGGUGGCAGAACCAGGAAGUGAACCUGACUCUGUUUCAGCUUCACGUGAAAGUUUGUCAUCUCACCAUUGGGCCCAAGUUCGGAGCCUGAGUAUCCUCUGGAAAUUCAUUUAGUUCUUUUGAGAAGCAUCUACCACGCACCAGCGAUUUACCUAUGAUCCAGUUUCUCUGGUUCAGUUCAGGUCCUGGCAUUUGGGUCUUUCUGGGAGUUCCCAGUGGAUGAUGCAGGUGUCUAUUUCAUGGUGUCACUGGUUUCUUUCCCCCUUUCUUGACAGGAUGGCCAGGGGUGCCACUAUCACAGCCACUCCUGGCCAUCAUCUCUUCUGCUUGGAUUUUGUCCAAGAUGAGAUGCUUGGAACUGUAGCAGCCAUCUUGUGGCCAUGAAGCAACAAGGUUAAGGCGAAAAAACCAAACAGGAUGGUGAGAGGAAAGAUGAAGUGUUGGUCUUUGAAGACAUUAUCUAGUCAUUGAACCACCACCAGCAACUGUCUACCUCCAGACUCCUUGUUAUCUAAGAAAAUGAGCCUUUGUGUUUAAGCAGUGAUUGGCUGUAUAUUUUUUGAAGUUCAAAGCAUUCCUAACUGAUACAGGCCCCCAAGCAGUAUGGCCUGUGCCCACAGGGGUGUGCUGAGGGAACCGUCCCUGAUUUUCCUUCAGUCUAGAAUGACGGAUUCCACAUGAACUUGAAAUCAUGCCCUCCGCAGGGGAGGCCCCGUUUUCCUCAGGGGUCAGUUUCCUCACAGGAGAUGCCUUGUCCUGCAGACUCACGGCAGGCCCAGUCCCGCCCCCUCCUGCGGAGUCCCAGUGCCAGCGCUGGGCACUGCAGACCCCUGGCGUCUCCUCGGGCCCUCCCUACCCCUCCCACAUUCCACAAGUGACUCUCAGGUGGUGGAUGUGACUCAUCUGAGGGCUGGCAGCCAGGAUGCGGGGGCUGGCUCCAAAUGUGUGUGGCCCAAAGCCUGAGGGUCUCCCCACUCCAGGGGGAGUCUCUCUAUUUGCCCCAGGCCAGGGGUGCAGGGGCUUCUGGGACAGUGGAUGACCAGACAGGGUGGGAGCUUCUGUGCCGUGAGCUGGGGACGGGCUUACGGAAGCCCACACCCUCCUGGCAGAGGAAUCAGGUCUCUGCUGUGACACUGCUGUGGAACAGCCCUAAGUCUCAGCGGCUUCCCAAAUAGCCCCCCUGCUUUUCUUGUUCCUGGGUCAGCAGGUCCGCUGGGGGUUUCUGCUUAGGCCAUGGGUCCAGAUCAUUGUGAGACCAGUGGCUACCUGGGGAUGCUCUUUCCCAGAGCUGUGCUGUGCUGGGGACAGCACAGGUGCGACAGGCCAACCACACGAGUGCUUUUAGAGCCUCUGCCUCAGUCAGGUCUGCUGAUGUUCCAGUGGCCACAGCGAGUCACCUGGCAAAGCCCCGAGGAUGGAGCAAGUGCGUGUACUCUAGCUACUCCAUGGGGUGGCCCUGUGAGGGCACGAGGCAAAGGGUGUGGAUGUGUAACCGUAUUACAGGUGGCAGAGCGAAGAGUCAGGGUCUACACACAGGUCCCAAGGGCCUCAGGGUGUCCCCAAAGCUGGGGGUGCGGAGGCUGCCCCUUGGGCAGGGCCUCAGCAGGGCAGGCGGACCAGGGGCGCUGCCUCAGGCUUGAGCUGAGGAUUCUCUGAUCUAUUCUGUGAAAAAGCAAAAGAUUCCUCAAUCUCCCUUUCAGAGGAAGAAGCUGAAGCUCUGGGGAGUCAGAGGGCUGCCUGAGGUCACAGGGCAGCCCCUGCCUCUGCCCACCCUCCUGCCAUCCCAACCCAGGCAGGGGAGGGAUCACAUGCUUCUCCAGGAGGGACACGCCCCCAGCUCCUUUCUCUCCUGCACACCCCGCCACACGCCCACACGUGUGUGUCCACUUCCCACAGAGAGCCUGGGACUCUGAUUCCCACUGCAUUGCCUGGGGGACCUCUCGGCACUCAUUUGCAUCUGGCAGCUGCUAAGCUGGCCUGGGGGCAUAUUUUGUUUGUCUUGAUCAGUGUUUUGUUUGUUAGAAUGGAGCCAACACUAAACAAUCAAAACAUUUCACAAAGAAUUCAGAUUUGAUUUCCAUUUCUUUUGAAAAAGCAGAUUUGACAGCACGGCUCAUUUGGCCCCGCAUGGCAGGUGGGCUGGCACUGCAUGGAGCCUGCCGCUGUCCCUCCAUGGGCCAUGUGCUCUUGCCCCAGUCCCCACCACUCCCUGCUGCCUCAAACCCAACAAAUUUCACUCAUAUUCUGUAUUGUUUUUUGUGCUGCUGGCACGUGAGCUAUAACCUAUGAUUUAAUCCACUCUCCAGAGCCUCAGAAAGAAGAGAUACCUGCCCGGGGUACACAGCCAGUCAGGGGCCUUUAUUUCUCUUUCUUUCUUCCUAAGAACUUCAUCUAGAUCCCAGAGGGCAGUCCCUCUUCUGGGCUCCAAACCAGGAGCUCAGUCCCUGCCGCCCAUCCCUGUUGGCUCAGAUUGGCAUCCUCUCCCUCAAGGCAAAGCUGUUUACGUCAUGGCUGAAGCUCAGAAUGCCCCUGGCAUUGCUGUCCUGAGAGCACAGUCACCUUCAGGGAAAAUCCACACUGAGAUGAAGCUUUGGGAAAUGUUACGGGGACCCAGGUCCCUGAGCUAGAUAGGGAAUCUGCCUAGAUGUGGAAAAAUGGGAGACUAACUGCUGAUACUUACUGUGUGCCAGCCACUUCUUGUAAUUUCAUAUUAACUGGCUUAAUCCUCACAUUAACCCUGUGAGGUGGAACCAUUUUUAUCCCCACUUUGUAGAUGAGAAAGCUGAAGCACAGAGAGGUUAAGCAACUUGCCCAAAGUUGCACAGCUUGUAAGUGGUAGAGUUGUGAUUUGAACUCAGGUCCUCUGGUUUCAGGGCUUACAGUUCUUAACCACUGAAAUAUCCUAGAGGAAAUGCCUAUUGAGAUGGCUGCUUUUACUAUAAUGUCUCGUUUCACCCUCAGACUUGCCCAACAAGGUAGGGUUGGGUUUGGCUGUGAGUGACAGAAAAACCCAAAAGAACAGUGACUUAACCAAAAGAGAAGUUGAUUUCUAUUUUAUGUACAUGCAACUUGAAGGUGUUAAGAAGGCUCCAGGGUCAAGAGGGACUCAGGCUUCUACUCUAUUUUAGUGCCAUCCUCAUCCUUUGGCUUCUCCUCAUUGAGCAAGAUGACUACUUGAGCUCCAGCCAUCACACCUUCACCCCAAUUUAAAAAAAAAAAUGGAAGGGACAAAACAGGACUCAUCCCCUUCCUUUAAGGACAUCUCCUGAAAGUUUCACAGCAUACUUCUACUCACAACCCUUUGACCAGCAUUUAGUCACAUGGCCACCUAGAAAUAGUCUUUAUUCUGGAGGGUUAUAUGCUCCAUGAAAAAUCAGUUCUAUCAUUAAACUUAAAAGGGAGAGUGGAUACUGGGAACAUUUAGCAUCAUUGCUACCUUAUACAGAUCCAGAAGCCGAGGCUCAAAGAGCUGAAUGAACUGCUGGAGGUCACACAAUCAGGAAGAGGUGCUGCCUGGAUCUUCUGUCUCUGGGCCCUUUGGAGCAGGUGGGGUUCCAAAGACACAUGCUGCCAAUUUCCUGGGGGGCGAGGGGGACGGUAGAUAUGUACAUUACCCUCUUCCCAGGCCCCACGAACGUCCAGGUCCCAGAUCCUGCCAGCCAGACUCCCCUUGGGCCUUCGAACACUGGCAGCCUCUCUGGGCCCAGAUCUGUCACGCUGGCACCAACCAUGCCCCAGGCCUGACUCCAUCCAUCCCACUAAUGCGGGCACAGACUGCUCAGGCAGCUCCUGAGGCGGCUCAGCAGCGCUGAAUAAUUCAGGCCUGCGUAAUGGGAUAAUGAAUUUACUGACAACCCAGUGUAGUCUCGGUACUGACAUUUGAAGAAAUACUGACUCCCCAGGCCCGUUCAGCAGGAUGGAGACGUACACGUGCCAAGGAGCCGUUGCUCUGCCUGCCUCGUGGCGUUCAGGCCUGACUGAGGGGAGACCCUACUUUGGUCUCACUGGUUCUUCAACCGCUUGGGCAAGUGGGGAGACUGGGGGCAGGGGGCUGCCUGGCGGGAACUUUGGGGAGAAGUGGAAGUGGACUCACGGAAGCUUGGGAGAGCAGAGCUGGAGAGGAACUCAGCCACCCUUGGUUCCGCAGGCCCAUUUUAGGAGCAGGGACACUGAGGCUGCAGAAGGGACAGGCCUGUGCUCCUGUACACCGUCCCGUGGCUGGAAUGCUGUGGAUAAUGUGGGGCUCUGGGGAGGGGACCUGCUUGUUUUCCUUCUCCCUGCUGGUUUUCCCGUCCCCCCGCUUCUGGGGGGACGUCUCGCAACUGCCCCUUCACAGGAGCGGGGUCCUCAGCUGGGCGAGAACCGCCCACCCAGAGGCUGUGUGCAGACUGUGGCCAGCGACUGGCAGACGUGGUGGUACAGAAGGCAACCCCAAGCGUCAGGUAGGAUGAACGCUGCAAUGUUGUCCGUGCUCCAGAACCUUCAGAGGGACCAGGCUGGGGCUAGACUCCAGCUGACACCAUAUUCUGGCUUAGCGUCUACCCAUUCCCCAUCUUGCCUCCCUCACUCCUCUUCUCAGAGCCUCCGCCAGUAAAUCAUCUGGAUAGGAAUCCCUGGCCCAGGCUCUGCCUCUGGGGGACCCACCUAAGACAGCUGCCUUCCCUGGUCAGAGCCCUCCCUGCUCUGGACUCCCCCCAGAGCACUAAGAGGGGCUCAGAGCCAGGAAUCCUUGGCCCGGCUCUGCUGUGUGACUCCAAGGAAAUCACUUGUCUGCCCUGGGCCUCGGUUCCCCAUUUGUAUGGAGGAGGGGGAGGCUCUCUCAGGUCCCUUCCGGCUCUGAAGGUUGUGAUAGGACCUGAGCUGCCUGGAAACUUCUCCUGACCCUUCCUAGCCCCACAGGUGCAUGGAGUGCUACCUUUUCUCUGAAGGCCUUUUCAAAAUGCAAAAGCCUCUGAGGUGAGAGUGAGUUUCGUAUUACAUGACCAUGCUGCAGGGCAGAAUCUCUCAAGGUGGCCUCCUUGGAUCAUCUGCAAUGGAAUCCAUCACCUGAAGGGCCGUUUAUUAGUUUAUGGGGUGUUCUUCUUUUGAAUGUGGUACAUGAUGUCUGGAGCUUCAGCAGCUAUCUUUCAGCCAUAAGGAAACAUCAUGAGAUGUAAACAACAAGCUAAGGAUGGUGAAGCAAAAAUACAGAAAUGGCAUUUCUGAAUCAUUGCACAGAGCCUGAAAACUACCUCUAGAAUCUCAGUGUGUGAAAUAAUUAAAUAUCUUUAUUGCUCAGGCAAGUCUUGGUUGACUUUUCUGUUAUUUGCAGCCCAGAGCAUUCCAAACAAAUUGACAGUCUUAUCUCAAUGAAUCAUAACAACAAUCCUUUGAAGUAGGGAUUAUCAUUGGCUCAACGAGGUUAGGUGACAUAGCUAAGGUCACACAGCUGGCCAGUGGCAGCACCACUUUGGGCUGGAGCUUUCAAGUUGGGAGGAAUUUUGAUUAUUGAUAAGAAUUGAAUUCCUGUCCCCUUUGCUGUCUGUGUCCUGUUGUAUCUGACCACUGGGAAUAAGCCCGUCCCUUGUCAUUCUGGUCUUCCGCCAUUCUCUCCCCAUCCAUCCUACCCUGGGUCUCAGCUUCAAGACCUGGGAAAGGUCCUUGUAGGGUGGGGAGAAGCAGGCGGCAGGUUCAUUCCUUCACGGGAUUUUCCUAAUGAGCAUGGCCAGGUCCCAGCACCAAAGACUGAAGGGAAGGUGACCCCAUUCUGGAGAAAAUUCGAAACAGCCUUUAGAUAGCCCUAGACCUUUGUGAGGGUUACAGCCAAAGAGAAAAAGAGCUCAGAGACACAAAAAUAGAUGGACAGAGGGGUUGAAGGAGAGAAUGAGAGAGGCAGAAGUGCAGUAGGAGGAGGCUGAGGGGGAGAAGAGAAUGGUCUCAGGUUCUAGAGAUAAAUGUUGAGACGAACAUGACAGUGAGUCUUGGCUCUGGCACACUAGCAGCCCGGUCCCCCAGCCUCCGCUUCUGCACUGGUGACUGAGGAGACAGAACACGUCCCUUGCAAGGAGGCCAGCAAGGACAGACGGCGCAGGCUGACCUGUAGCUGAUGCUCAGUGGGUGGGCACUGCUGCCCCACACAGACCGGUCUGAUGGUCUUGGUUGCUGCUCUGGGGGUGGAGGCCGGGCUGGAGGGGAGGGUGAUGUGACCUUGAGUGAACCUUUGUUCAGCCUCUUCUGGAGAUCAGAGGCCUCACGGAGAAAGGAGAGCAGCGUAUGUGUGUGUGUGUCCCUCUGUGCCAGAUUAGGUACGUCCAGGUAAUCAGAAAACUGCAUAUUUCCCUUGACAGAAGAGUGGCCUUCUCAGACUACAGCAAUACCGGAAAUGCAUUCUAUCUCCUUAUCCGCAGCGAGGGGUGCGGUGGGUAGGGGAGGAGAAGCUUUACAGACUCGUCAGGAGGCAGAGAACUGAGGAGCCACAGCUGGAGUUCGUGGGGAACUGCCUCAGACCCUGAGACUGAGCCCUGAGCAUCGGGGGCUGGUGUUGGUGUGGGGAGCCCUCUCUGAAGGGCCUCCUGUCUGCCCAGAUUAGUGGGGACGGAAAUGUCCUCAGACUGCGGACAAGAAGAAGGCUCUCUGUCAGCUACAUGAAGCACAUGAACUUCCCCUCCAUUCCUUUGGGUGGCAGGCGGAGAGGAACCCUUUGGCUUGGGUGGCAUCUGGGCAGAGUAUGGAUCUCCAGGGCCUGGCACAGAGCCUCAGCCAAAUGAGUGAGCCUGGGACCCUGUCAGGGCUGGAGGCUGUGCUUGAGGAUGGAAGGGGCGCAGUACUCCAGCAUCAGCUGAGAGGCUCAGGGCUGGGGCAGGGGGAGUGGCUCCUCUUCCUGGCACAUGCCCUGCUCACCUGGUACCUCCUUACACCUAGGGGUUCAGGCAGGCAGACAUUGCUGUCUCCAGGGAGCCUUCCCUCAGCCUCCAGGUCAGAUGCUCCCCCUGACGAGCUGGUAGGGUGGUUUUAAUACAUGUCCAUGAAUUCUUAGAUACUCCUCUCAUUAGGAGGUGGAGUCUGUGUCCCCUCACCUUGAAGCUAGGCAAGCCCCCUUGAACAGAAUGUAGCAGAAGUGAUGUUCUGUGACUUCUGAGGCUGGUUAGAAAAGGCCAAAUAGCUUCUCCCAGGUUCUCUCUUGUGUGUGUGAGCUGCCCUAUGGGGUGACAGACCCAGAGCAAGAACUGCCUGGAGUCCAGGCAGCCUCCAGAUUUAUAAGCAGAAUAAAUGGUCAUAUAUGAGUUUCCUAGGGCUGCCUAAGUAACAAAUGACCACAAACUGGGUAAAACAACAGCAAUGUAUUCUCUCACAGAACUGGAGGCCAGAGUCCAAAAUCAAGGUGUUGGCAGGGCUGCUUCCUUCCAAGGGCUCUGAGGGAGCAUCUGUGCCAUGCUUUCCUCCCAGCUUCUGGUGCUUGGCGUUUCUUGGCUUGUAGACGCAUCACUCCUGUCUCUGCCUCCCUCUUCACCUGGUGUUCUCCCUGAGUCUGUGUAUUCAAAUUUCCCUCUUUCUAUAAGGACAUCAGUCAUAUUUGAUUAGGGGCCCGCCCUACUCCGUUAUGACCUCAUUUUAAGUCAUUACAUCUGCAAUGACCAUAUUUCUCAAAUAAGAUGACAUUCUGAAGUACUGAGGGUUAAGACUUUAACAUAUCUUAUAGGGGGUCAAAAUUCAACCUGUAACAUAUAGUUAUCAUUUUAAGCCACUGUUUUGAAGUGAAUUGUUAUGCAGCAGUAGUUACUCACAACACUAGAAUUAAGGGAUGGCUAAGGAAGCAAAUAAAACAUCAGCGGAAAUGUAAUUUACCAGAAAAUCCCUCCAGGAGGCUACUGUAUGUGGUUGGAAUAGCUGGCUUUCUAAGUAGCUUGAGUGGGUGCUAGGAACUCCGUGCAAAAGAUGCAAGUUCCAGUAACAACACAUGUUGAAUAAUGACAGACAGCUUCCCUAAUGUCUUCUAAUAUAGGAAAAGAACUUGAGUUUUGCUUUGCAUUCUUCCCCCUUAAAUAAAAGUUGAAUAUCUACUUAAAGAGAGUUAAUGUGAUUAUGAGAGUGUUUCUGGCCUCUAUAUAUCUCAGUGUGGCCUGUUUACUAAUGCCUACCCCAUCAGAGCACCAAUUAACUGUGGGGUGCAUUUGCCUGGUUAAGUGUCUAGUUUCUCCAUAGACCAUAAGCAAUCCCGAGGGCAGGAACAAGCUCUGUCUUGUUCUCCUCUGAAUCUCCAGCACAGUUCUUGGCACAUAGUAGGUGCUUAAUAGUUAUUUUCUAAAAGCAAAGACAUUGGAAAAGAAACAAAGUGUUUUAAAAUCUAUAUGAUGACUAAAGGUUUACAAAUAUAUCAGUUACAAAACAUGUAAGGAUGCUGGAAAAAAUAUUUUUGAAAUUCUCUUCAUUUAAUGAAAGGGCCUAUAGGAAAAUAAGGAAAUUACGAGAGGCUAGGAACAAAUUGAAAACAUCUGUCCAGGGAAUUAAGUGAUUGCUGAAACUGCUGCACACCUUGAGGACAUCUAUCUUGUCGGGCAGCUUACAGCUUUCACAGCUUGAACUUCUGUGGCACAAGAAAGAAGCAAAGGAUGAUAAAAAUGACCAGGCAGAAAUGAAAAAUAAACAAACAGAGGUUCUAGAAAUGAAGAUCUAUCACAUGAAAUUAAAAACGCAAUGGAACAAAUAGAAUAGACACAGCUGGAGAGGAAAUUAGUAAACUGGAAGAUAGACCUGAAAAAACUACACGUAAUGUAGCAUAGAAAGAAAAAUGGAAAAUAUGAAAAAGAGGUUAAGAGACAUGGAGAAUGGAAUAAAAAUCUUUAAUAUAUGUUUAAUCAGAUUUUUGGAAAGUGAUUAUAGGAAUAAUGGGAGAGACAUAAUAUUCAAAGACAUAGUAGCUGAGAAUUUUUCAUGAUUACUAAAAAACAUGAAUCCUCAGAUUCAGGAAUUCCAAUGAAUCCUAAACAAGAUGAAUAAAAAGAAGUCCAGACAUAAUCACAUCAUAGUCAAACUGAAGAAUACCAAAGACAAGGAGAAGAUCUUAAAAGUCUCAGAAAGAAAAAAUUUUGUUGUUCACAACUUCUGUAAUUAGAAGAAAUAAGAACUAAUGGGUGAUUAAUUACAAUAGUGUCAACAGUAACAAUGAAAGAAGAUGGUAAUGGACAUGGGAUUUCCCUUUUGGGUGAUGAAAUGUUGGGGAAUUAGAUAGUGGUGAUGUUUGCAAAACUUUAUAAGCUUUUAAACCUAAACCUAAAACCACUAAAGUGUACACUUUCAAAGGGUGAAUUUUAUAGUGUGUAAAUUAUAUCUCAAUAAAUGCAAAAAAAAAAGAGUAAGGGUGGAAACAAAGACAUUUUAUACUAAAACCAAGAUAAUUUAUAAAUAACAGACCCUCAAUUAAUUUCUGAAGGAUGAACUUAAAGAGAAGAAAAAUGAUCUCAGGAAGAAAGUCUCAAAUACAAGAAGAAAUGAUGAAUUAAGAAAAUAAUGAAAAUAUGGGUAAAUUUGAACAAACACACUGAUUGUCCAAAACAAUGUCUAUUCCAUGGGGUUACACGAGAGAUGGAGCUAAAAGGGUGGGCCUUAAGUAAGUGAAAUUAAUGCUUUCAAAGUACUUUGCAUUGUUCAGGAGGCUAAGAUGUUGAUGAACCUUAAACUAGAUUAAGUUCUGUAAUCAUUUCAAAAUGCCAAGUCACCAAUAAAAAAAAAAAGAAAUAGAAUGCCUAUCUUUCAUACCAGCACAUGGGGAAAAAAUGGAGUGAGUAAAAAACCUCAAUCAGUUCAAAACAA